UACAGAGGUGGCGAGCGUUGUUCGGAAUUACUGGGCGUAAAGGGCGCGUAGGCGGCCUUCUAAGUCGGACGUGAAAGCCCCAGGCUUAACCUGGGAACUGCGUCCGAUACUGGGAGGCUUGGAUUCGGGAGAUGGAUGUGGAAUUCCAGGUGUAGCGGUGAAAUGCGUAGAUAUCUGGAGGAACACCGGUGGCGAAGGCGGCAUCCUGGACCGACAUCGACGCUGAGGCGCGAAAGCUAGGGGAGCAAACGGG
rnacentral:rRNA from 1 species